AGUGAACGCUGGCGGUAGGCCUAACACAUGCAAGUCGAACGGCAGCACAGUAAGAGCUUGCUCUUACGGGUGGCGAGUGGCGGACGGGUGAGGAAUACAUCGGAAUCUACUUUUUCGUGGGGGUUAACGUAGGGAAACUUACGCUAAUACCGCAUACGACCUACGGGUGAAAGCAGGGGAUCUUCGGACCUUGCGCGAUUGAAUGAGCCGAUGUCGGAUUAGCUAGUUGGCGGGGUAAAGGCCCACCAAGGCGACGAUCCGUAGCUGGUCUGAGAGGAUGAUCAGCCACACUGGAACGGAGACACGGUCCAGACUCCUACGGGAGGCAGCAGUGGGGAAUAUUGGACAAUGGGCGCAAGCCUGAUCCAGCCAUACCGCGUGGGUGAAGAAGGCCUUCGGGUUGUAAAGCCCUUUUGUUGGGAAAGAAAAGCAGCAGGUUAAUACCCCGCUGUUCUGACGGUACCCAAAGAAUAAGCACCGGCUAACUUCGUG
rnacentral:rRNA from 1 species